GAUGAACGCUGGCGGCGUGCUUAACACAUGCAAGUCGAACGAGAAGUGAAGACGGAAACCUUCGGGCGGAAGGCUUUAUUUCGAGUGGCGGACGGGUGAGUAACGCGUGGGUAACCUGCCUCAUACAGGGGGAUAACAGUUGGAAACGACUGUUAAUACCGCAUAAGACCACAGCACCGCAUGGUGCGGGGGUAAAAACUCCGGUGGUAUGAGAUGGACCCGCGUUCGAUUAGCCAGUUGGCGGGGUAACGGCCCACCAAAGCGACGAGCGAUAGCCGAUAUGUGAGGAGGACCGCGCCCACUGGGACAGAGAGACGGCGCAAACUCUCCUGCGAGGGAGAAGUGGGGAAGAUUGUACAAUGGGGGAAAACCCGAGGCAGAGAGGCGGCGUGAGAGAAGAAGGAUUUUGGGAUGUAUAGAGCUCUAACAGGGGAGGAAAAUGACGGUACCUGAGUAAGAAGCCCCGGCUAACUACGUG
rnacentral:rRNA from 1 species